AGGGCCCUUUGGGUCCAACCUCCCACCCGUGUUUAUUUACCUCGUUGCUUCGGCGGGCCCGCCUUAACUGGCCGCCGGGGGGCUCACGCCCCCGGGCCCGCGCCCGCCGAAGACACCCCCGAACUCUGCCUGAAGAUUGUCGUCUGAGUGAAAAUAUAAAUUAUUUAAAACUUUCAACAACGGAUCUCUUGGUUCCGGCAUCGAUGAAGAACGCAGCGAAAUGCGAUACGUAAUGUGAAUUGCAAAUUCAGUGAAUCAUCGAGUCUUUGAACGCACAUUGCGCCCCCUGGUAUUCCGGGGGGCAUGCCUGUCCGAGCGUCAUUGCUGCCCUCAAGCCCGGCUUGUGUGUUGGGCCCCGUCCUCCGAUUCCGGGGGACGGGCCCGAAAGGCAGCGGCGGCACCGCGUCCGGUCCUCGAGCGUAUGGGGCUUUGUCACCCGCUCUGUAGGCCCGGCCGGCGCUUGCCGAUCAACCCAAAUUUUUAUCCAGGUUGACCUCGGAUCAGGUAGGGAUACCCGCUGAACUUAAGCAUAUCAUA
rnacentral:rRNA from 1 species